rnacentral:tRNA from 1 species
AUUGGCUUAGUAUAAAUCACAUUACACAGGGCUGUAAACCCUGCUAUAGCAUAGCAGCUAGCCAAAA